rnacentral:lncRNA from 1 species
GAACAAAAUUUGGCACAGAGAGGUUAAGUGACGUAAUCAUGGUAGCACAGCCUAGGAGUGGCAGAAUCCAGAUUUGAACUCAGUUCUAUAGGCCUGCAAAGCUCAGGCUCCUCAUGACCACAGUAACCUAUAUACCAUAGCUGGUAGUCACAGGGAGACAGAAGAACGUUAAAUCAGUGUAGUCAAACAGGGAUGGAAACAUUGCUUCACUAGGAAAAGUUCCGUUUGUCUCCGAAUUUUCACUUGCCAAAGUAAGGUAAUGUGUAGUAUAUUUUAGGAUAAUUCUCUUUUAAAAUGAUCAAAUGCUACUAAAAAAGAAAAUGAAUUGAAACAAACAAGAGCAAAAUUUAACAAGUCAAUUUAAGAUCCAUUAAAUAUUUAUUCACAUCAUUGAGGAAGUUUGAAGUCAAUUGCAUUAAAAUAUCCCUAAGCUUUGAAGGAUCUCAGGUUUCCAAAAUCAUUUAGCUUUACCAUGACAUGAAGCCUAUUUUCCUAGCAGAUAUUUCAACUGCCUAUAAAAGUUACAAGGGAGAGAAAAACCUCACUCUGAGGAGGAGGAAAGCAAAACAAGAGAACAGCUCUAAUCCUGGCUCUGUUAAAAACUGUCCUAGUGGCCUUGAGCAGAUCCCUUAAAGAUGUGGGCCUCAGUUUCCUCAUCUACACCAAGAGAGGAAUAGACUUGUCUAGUACUUCUCUUGCUUUAAUGUGCACGUGACUCACCAGAGGAUCUCGGGAAAAUACAGGUUCCGAGUCAGCAGGUCUGGGGUGGGUCUGAGAUUCACCAUUUCUAUCACCCUCUCAGGGAUGACAACACUGCCGCUCUAGGGACUAGCUUUGUGUAGUGAGGGGCUCCAUCACCUCAGAUUCAACUCUAAAGCCGAGGUAUUAUAGUGAACCCCCAAUUGCUAGGUAAACAAGGAGUGUUGAUUUUCUCUUGAUAGGACAGUGAAAUUUCUCCAGCUGUAGCUUGUAUUGCUGUUCCUCACACUUGACCUUUUCUGUCUCAAACACAUUUCACGUGCCCUGAGUAUGGAGCUUGCAGGCUUCAGCGUUGCCUGUGUGAGGCUGUCCUAUGAGGCCGGAAGUGGGUAGCUGACGUGGAAGGCCAAUAAGCGUGUGCAUGAGUGGGACCAGAACAAAACCAGUGCUGACUUAGCAUCUUCACUUCAGAAGAAGCUUAUUGGUUUCAAGUCUCACCACUUCCCAUUCCCCUGAUAAGAAAGCCCAGAUGCUCCUGCCUUUGGCACCAGCCAAAAGACACAAGUCCAAAACCACAGGAGCCCAAGCCAGCCUCCUUUCCCUGCUCCCUCAAGCCACUUUAGAACACCUUGGGGACCUGCCCCACUCUCCCCGGAGAGAGACCAGAGCACAGCUUAUAUAAGCCGGAGAACUGAAAAGAAAAGAUGAAAUGCCUUUUAGCAGUCAGCGUGUGUGUAAGAGAAUGAGACUCUUCCUGAGAUUUCCUGUAAUUAUUUGGAAGGAAUGAGAAGUCGUCUGGAACCAGAGAAAGACCAUUUUGAGGCUGUCGUUCUUCCCGUAGGCAGGGGAGGCCUGAGAAGCUAUGGUUACAGUAAAUGGGCUGGUGAGGUCACUGGUCUUGGGACGCUUUCCUUUGGCGACAUGAAAGGUAGAGCCUUUUUUCAGUUGUUUCCAGUGGUUGUUUUAUUUAGCUGAUCUCAAAUGGAACCUAAUAGACCUACCUAAUGGUUUCAAACAGCAUUGAUUUGGUUCUUUCUUAGACUGAAGUGCCAAUGUUCAGAGCUUUGACGUUUGGUGAGCGCUUCCCCAUUCUUUCCCCUUCCCUGACACCAUGGCCCUGCAUUCCACCCUUGCUAGGCAGUCUGCUCCUCAAGUGAAGGGACCCUGCCUCAUUCUUCUUUGUACCUUCAGAAGCUAGCUCUGUGCCAGACACCUGUUUGUUAGAUGAAUGAAUGAAUUACACAGAGCACCAGGUUCAGAUCAAUAAGCAAUGCCAUGGAAAAUAAGGAAAAAUAAAAGGGGUCAUUCAAUGUGUGGUCGCUCACAAACACUGUACACUUCUCAGUGUUUAGUAGCGGGUGUGUAUAGGGCUACUCACAUAUUGAUUGCUCUGUUAUUCCCAUCAAAUUAGUCAUUUGAGAUGCCAACUUUAAUUUGCUGGAGUGGCUCUUUUUCAACAUAACUCUGAAGAAAAAAAAACAAGGCACCAUAACACUUUCCUGACAUAACAGCAUCAAAGGCCCCUGCUUACAGGAUAUUACCUAGAUCUGUGAAUGUGGCCGGGGCCCACCCGGCCAUUCAUUGGUUACAAUGUUGUAUUUCUCCCACAUGAUAUGGAAAAUGCAUGUUUUGAGAAGAAAUUGAAAGCACUUCCUUACCCGCAUAGACGUCUCAUUUUGACCUCUGGUGGGGGUUGAGUCGCCAGUUUGGCUGAGGGUGCUUACCCUCACCUUUCUCCCAAACGCGGUCAGGGAGAAGCUAGGCCUCCUUUGUCUCGUUUGUCUGUCUAGGCGUGUAACUGCAAUGGAGGAGGUACUGCUUUUCCUUGAACUACUCCCAUUUUCCUUGAGUUCAGAGGAAAUCCACUGUGGGUUGGCUCCACUGAGGCGUCAGAGGAUGUCAGAAUGGCAUCUAGAGCAGAGUCUCUUGCUGGUCUCUUUCUCUCUGUGGACUGGCAUCAGUUAUCUGAAUUUCCUAGCAAGGCUCAAAGGGGAGUGGGAGAGAGAGGGCCCAAGCAGCAGCAUCUUAGUGGAUAGGUCAGAAGCAAGCAAGAGGAGGGAAAUAUGCCCAAGGGCCUGCACUGGAGCAACAUUGAUCUAGAAAAUUCCUAUCUCUGAGAUCCCAGUUAAUCGUGCAUUAACAGCAGUUUAAAGGCCUCCUGCUUCUCUUUAAGUAAGCAUUGUAAGUUAUCUGCUUUUCAAAUUACUUUGGAAACAAACUCGAGUAGAAAGCAUCAUCAUAGCCUGGGUCUGGCAUAGAGUGCAUUAGCUUUGCCAUCGCCCUGCUGAUUUAAUUGGCCCAGUAAGCACGCUUGAGGUGUUUGGGAUUGUAAUUAAAGUUGUGGUGCCUGGAAAAUCCUCCGUCUGUUAUUAUAAUUUUUUUCUAAAAUAAACUAUCCUAGCUCACCAAACUUGUGGAGCUAAUUAGAGCCUAAUUAAAGUUACUUGUUUCUAUUUUAAAAUCUGCCCACUGAGAGAGCUGCAAGGCAGGAGGGAACAUAUUUUUAAAGUGACAGUUCUAAAAAUGCUUCCCACUCUGGUCUCUGAGCUUCAUUGCUCUGAUUCAUGCAUUGAUUGAUUUCCAAUGAAAAUGAUGGCCUGCCUCCUUCCUUCUUCACUGCAGCUCUGCUCCCAGGGCCCCCUCCCAUUUAGCUGUGUGAAAGGAUUUGUUUAAUGAACAAAGGACCCUUCUUUGUCAUUUAUCUUCCAGCCAAAGAAGCUGACCAGGCAUUCAGAGGGGAAGCCAUCUAGAAAAGGGCUCAUGACAAAAUCUGGAGCAGGGAGACCAGGAAUCAGUACAGUAUUGAAUCUGAAGUGGAAAGGGAGACGGCAUUUGUUGAGGACUUACUAUGUAUUUUCUAGGCUUUGGUCAUAGGCAUACUCUUGUUGCUUCCUUAAGGCAAAGACUGUAUUUGAAUGAGAGAAAUAAAGGGUAGUGCUGGGUGUGGAACAGGGUCACACAUGUCUGAGAGGCUUCAGCUGCUCCAGCACUGACUUUAGCAGUGAUGAAGAGGCUAUGGUUUUCCAAGUGGCCAGAAGUUUGCAGGCAACGUCAGUGGACAUUCCCCAGCAUGAAGCAAGCAAGAACCAUUCAUAUAUACCUGUGACUGUGAAAGUGGGCAGCUCUGGAUUGGGAACUCACUGGGUUUGGUUUCAUCCAGUUUCUCAAAUCUUGUCACAGCAACAGAGAACAUCACCAGCCAGUAUGACUUCUUCUCUCUUCACCUUCUGUGCCAGUCAGUGCACAGACUGCAUUUAAUUACCUAUUCCAAUAGCCUUCCAGAGCCUGACUAUAAGGCUUACUCAUAAUGUGGUAUCAGAAAAAAAAUCCUGAUUCACUGAAAAUCUCCAAGAACCAUGCCGUUAUUGCCAUUGUACAAAAUGGUACCACCUGACUUUGGUGUAAUUGUUAGAAAACAUGCUUUAUCUUUUUAUUUCAAGUUGCCUAUUUAAUACUAAUAAAUUUAUGAUACUAUACAGUCUUUAAUGGAAAUGUUGGUGUCACCAAAUAUAAAAGAUAGAAUUACAUUUACUUCCCCAUUUUAUAAAUAUGUGUAUUCAGGUUUUACCAGUGUGUACCAUUAUCUGAGGGUGAGCUAGCUACAGUAGUAUUCUGAGAUCAGAGAGGAC